AUUGAACGCUGGCGGCAGGCUUAACACAUGCAAGUCGAGCGAGGGGAGGAAGGGUGAGUAAUGUCUGGGAAACUGCCUGAUGGAGGGGGAUAACUACUGGAAACGGUCGCUAAUACAGCAUACCAUCAGAUGUGCCCAGAUGGGAUUCGCUAGUAGGUGGGGUAAUGGCUCACCUAGGCGACGAUCCCUAGCUGGUCUGAGAGGAUGACCAGCAACACUGGAACUGAGACACGGUCCAGACUCCUACGGGAGGCAGCAGUGGGGAAUAUUGCACAAUGGGCGCAAGCCUGAUGCAGCCAUGCCGCGUGUGUGAAGAAGGCCUUCGGGUUGUAAAGCACUUUCAGCGAGGAGGCGUUACUCGCAGAAGAAGCACCGGCUAACUCCGUGCCAGCCGCCGCGGUAAUAC
rnacentral:rRNA from 1 species